GACGAACGCUGGCGGCGUGCUUAACACAUGCAAGUCGAACGGAAAGGCCCUGCUUUUGUGGGGUGCUCGAGUGGCGAACGUGUGAGUAACACGUGAGUAACCUGCCCUUGACUUUGUGAUAACUUCAGGAAACUGGGGCUAAUACCGGAUAGGAGCUCCUGCUGCAUGGUGGGGGUUGGAAAGUUUCGGCGGUUGGGGAUGGACUCGCGGCUUAUCAGCUUGUUGGUGGGGUAGUGGCUUACCAAGGCUUUGACGGGUAGCCGGCCUGAGAGGGUGACCGGCAACAUUGGGACUGAGAUACGGCCCAGACUCCUACGGGAGGCAGCAGUGGGGAAUAUUGAACAAUGGGCGGAAGCCUGAUGCAGAAACGCCGCGUGCGGGAUGACGGCCUUCGGGUUGUAAACCGCUUUCGCCUGUGACGAAGCGUGAGUGACGGUAAUGGGUAAAGAAGCACCGGCUAACUACGUG
rnacentral:rRNA from 1 species